AGAGAGAGAGAGAGAGAGAGAGAGAGAGAGAGAGAGAGGGCUUUUCCUUUUCUGGUAGUUAAACCUGCUGGAAGAGUAAGCAGGAAUUAGUUGGGCUGCGGAAAGAGUCAGAUACAAACCAGACUGCAGAGGAUACAAGGUUGGCGCAUGGAAUAAACCCAGACACUGCUAAGUGAGAACGCCAGCAGAAGCUUUGAGGCAUCAUGGACGAUGACUUUGACCGACGCAUGGAGCUGAGGAGGCAGCGGAGGGAGCAGAUGCGCGUCGAGGGAGACGGCGUGGGCGGGGGCAACGGCGAAGACGAUGAGGAGGCCUCCCGGGAGCGGAGGAGGCGCGCCAGGGAGGAGAGGAAGAAGACGAAGGACCCGGAGGAGACUGGGGCUGAGGCUGGGGAGGUCAUCGACACCAACAGUGUGACCGAGACCACCACCAUGGAGACCACCCUCUCCAACGAAACCACCGCGGACCACUCCACUUCCAACGAGGCCGCAGACGCUGACACCACCCCCGACGACGACGCUGCUGACCCUAGCCCCGACACCGCCGCCGCCGACAACGCCCCCGCCGCCACGGAGGGAGGCGACACCGAUGACCAGGUUCUGCUGGACCGCCUCGCCCAGAGGGAGGAGCGCAGGAAGAAGAGGAUGCAGGAGGCCCUGGAGAGACAGAAGGAGUUCGACCCCACCAUCACCGCCAACGGCAUGGACGAAGAAGCGCCUAAAGAGGAAGCUGCUUCUGGACCCGAGGUUGUGGCGGAGGAGGAGAUUAAGGAGGAGGUUGUUGUAGCAUCAGACCAGGAUGUACAGCGGUCCGUUUCCGGAGAGGCAGACGAGGAGAGGGAGAAGAGAGAGGAGGAGGAGAAACAGCAACAGGAGAAGGAGGAAAGGAAGCGGAGAGAGGAGGAGGAGGCGAGGCGACAGAAGGAGCAGUUGAAGAGGGAGGAAGAGGGAAAGCAGCAGGAGGAACAAAGGAGGAGAGAACAAGAGGAGCAGCAAAGAGAAAAGGAGGAGAGGCUCAGGAAGGAGGCCGAGGAGAAGAAGAACAAGGAAGCGGAAAUGGAGGCGAAGAGGAAGGAGGAAGAGCAAAACCGGAAAAAGGAAAUGGAAGAAAAAAAUAAGGAAGAGGAGCAAAAGCGGAAAAAGGAAUUGGAAGACAAGAAGAAAAAAGAGCAGGAGGAAAAGCAGAAGAAGAAGGAGCUGGAGGACAAGAAAAAGAAGGAGGAUGAGGAAAAACUGAAAAAGGAAACGGCGGACAGAAAGAAGAGAGACGAAGAGGAUAAACUGAAGAAGAAGGAGGCGGAGGAGAAGAAGAAGAAAGAGGAGGAGCAGAAGCCAAAACGACUUGGUUUCAAGGAUAAGCUUGAACCAACCAAACAGACUGGAGCCUUCCCUGGCCUCAACCAUCACAAACCAGAGCCCACCCCGAGCCGCGACAGUGCCCUCUCCCCGGAGGAGGCGGAGCGGCUGGAGGCGGAGAAGAAGCUGGAGGAGCUGAAGCGGCGACGGGACAACGCGGAGAACGAGGAGCUGGAGAAGAUGAAGCACAAGGCGCAGCAGUCCGGGGCCGAGCUGGAGGGCCUGAAGAAGAAGAGGGAGGAGCGCAAGAAGGUGCUCGAGGAAGAGGACCGGAAGAGGAAGCAGGACCUGGCCGACAAGAAGGCCAAGGAACAGGAGGAGAGGAAGAGGAUGAGGGAGGAGAUCGAGAAGAGGAGGGCUGAUGCAGUGGAGAAGAAGAAACAGCUGGACGAGUCUGCGGACGCCAAGCCCGUCUUUCAAGUCAGCACCAAGGGUUCUGCCAAGAUCGGAGCGAAGGCCGACUUUUUGACCAAGUCGGCUCAGAAGAGCUCAGUCAGACCAAGCCCAGUCACUCCAAUCUUCUCUAAGAUCGGCAACAGACUAGAACAAUACUCAUCCGCCAUGCAGGGGAACAAAGAGACCCCGGUGAAGCCGCCCAAGUCCCCCAUGGUGGACAUCCCGUCAGGGGGGGCCCGCAGCAUAAAGAACAUGUGGGAGAAGGGCAACGUCACCAACCCUAUAGACCCCCCCAAGAAGGACACUGCUGGGGUCAAAGUGGGCGUGCCCGGGCGGCUCAACAGUCUGACGGCCAAGCCUGCAGAGGCAGCUAAAGCUGCCCCCGCAGCGCAGCCGGAACCAGAACCAGCACCAGCACCAGCUAAAACCCCAGAGGCCACACCAGGUCCCAUCGGCAACAAGCGUGGCCAAUGGGAAGCCAAGAAGGUCACCACUCCUGGAAAGUCGACCUAAUGGAUUGGGCUAAGAGGUGACAUUCGGGGGCAAGGGCAAGUUUGUCACAAAUGCUUCAGCAGGCAUGAGACCCUAACCAGAGACACCCCCCUCAACAACCACCCACCCCCCCACCUGACCCCAGCCAGCAGGCCGUCAGGUGCAGUGAUCACCUGGACACCAUCAGCGAGGCCCAAACUUCACACCCACCUCUGAAGAUAAUAAAGGACCUCAUUAAUUGAUCCUUAAUUAAACCACAGAUAAACCACAUCUAAAAUAUAUUUUUUGUAAAUAUAUAGGGGGCUUGAUAGAGGAUAGAUACCAAACAGGCUUUUUUACACUCCUAUACCCUUAGACAUGAACCCAAUCUGUGAUUAGCUUCACACCCUAACAUGGCUUCUAACAUGGUUUCAACAAGGUGGUCAUCCAUGUCAAUUCACACACAUGCACUUUCACACCGCCUAGCUGUUUGAUUCCCAGACCAUGCCUGAUGAGACACCAAGCCGUGCACGUCAUAUCCAGCCAUCAUACACUAUCGGUGCUUAAAUCUGACCACUGGCACAUUUAUAAUCGGUAUAUAAUAUAUACUCUCCAGACACAAUCAGAGAGCAUGACAGUCAUACACAGUUGUUAUAUAAAUAAAAUGUAUUAUUAUUAUUAUUAUUAAUAUUGGGAUUAUUAUGAGUUUGAUAUGCGGAAUACAGGAAGGCAGCCAGAUCACUACAGACCGCAUCAUACAGGAAGUUGCGGUCCAACAAUCAUGGUUUAAUGUUGCUGCACGCAAAGUCACUAGCAAUAAUAUGUGUGCGGUUGCCCAAUCACAAGAACACCUUUUAAGAAAUAGUAGGUGAAGUAAAUAUACAGUUUUAUUUGAUAAAAAAAAAGGCCUAUUUCAAUCUGUUUGAUCACAAGGUGAAUUAAAUAUUUGCCUGUGAACGGAAAUGAAAGCCUAUAUGUUUUUGAGAGAUACAAUGUUCAAUCUAUUCUGGGCCAUCCUGGGUCAAGGAUUUGGGCUCCUGUUUGUUUCAAACCUGCCCCGGUUUAUCAGAAGUCCUUCAGGCCUGUUGGAUUCUGACUUGUUUUGUUUGAAUGUGCAAACUUGUACUUGCUUUAGCAAUAAAAUGAGAAAAACAACAAG